rnacentral:rRNA from 1 species
UACGGGAGGGGCUAGCGUUGUUCGGAAUUAUUGGGCGUAAAGGGCUCGUAGGCGGUUUGUCGCGUCGGGAGUGAAAUCCACUGGCUUAACUGGUGGCUUGCUUUCGAUACGGGCAGACUGGAGGUAUGCAGGGGAGAACGGAAUUCCUGGUGUAGCGGUGAAAUUCGUAGAUAUUCGGAAGAACACCAGUGGCGAAGGCGACUUACUGGACACAUAUUGACGCUGAGGUGCGAAAAGCGUGGGGAGCAAACAGGG